CUAUCUUGCCCUCGAUCUUAUCCUUUCUUAGCUUAGAAGUUCAACAUAUCCUUCUCUCAUUUCUGUAUCUUUUCACCUUGUGUAGAACUUCAACAUAUCCUUCUCUCCUUCAUGUGCUUGUUUUUUUAUUUUGGCUCCAAUUAAAAUGCUAAAGUUCGAUGAAUCUCUCCAGAUGCUCAAAUCACAAGGAAAGAUGAGCUUUUUAACGUCAAUCAAACUUUUUGUUGCUGAAGUUAGGAAGGUGCUGCGUUCUUGUUCAUUUGAAGUUAUUGAUAAAACCACCCACGAUUCAACAUGAUGGCCAAUUUCAAAUUUAUAUCGAUCAUAAUCUGCGCCAACUCUUCCUGUUCGUUCUUCAUCACCAUCAUUCAAUUCGUAUUCGUUCUUCAGAAUAUCAACAGGCAAUUCAGCAAUCAUGACACAUUCGACCGAUCAGAAUAUUAUUUCUGCGAAUUUGCUAAUUCAUGAGACCGCUCAACGACCGGGAGAACAACAUCAUGAUACGAACGAUCAUCUUGAUGCUCGAGCCAAUUUGUUAGUUCCUCGGAGUAAUGAUCAAGCAGUAGAUCGUCAUGAAGAGGGUACCCGUAUGUCAGAGACGAUCGAUCAGCCCAACAUUGCUGCCAAGUUGUUAAUACCUCAAAGCGCUGAACCAGAAGAAGAUAAUCAUCAAGAUGCAAACGAGCAGCCCGACGGACUAGCUGAUUUGGUAACUCAGUGUCCACGGUCAAGAAUUGGGAAAAUAAGGUUCCUGUAUUCUUUCAGGUCCAUUAACUCCUCCUUUUCCUCCAACACAACCCUCAAGGCACUAGUAAACAUAUCUAAGCGUUUGUUGUCAUCAUAACUUGAUUUGGUCAGCAUUUCCUCAGUCUAGUGUUAGAAACAAACAGGAAAAAAUAAUAUUAAACUAAUGUAUCCGAUAUUCUAAUUACGUAGAGAACGCUAUUCCAAGAUAUGAGUAGUGUUAUAAAAUAUUCUUACAAAAAGGGUGGUAUGACAAAGCAGCCUUGGCAUUGUAAACUCUCGUCUUUUGACUUCGUCAUGAUUAAGCAUAGAUGCCCAAUAGUUAAUGAUGCCCGUGCUCAGCCAAACAUUUGGUAGUAGAUCCAAUAUAUGAAAGUGCAUCAGAUGUGUUCCAUAGGCAGUGCAGAAUAUAUCAUUCUUGUACACAUCCGUGUUGCAAACAAAAAAUUAGAAUACACAUAUUCAUAUACGUUAAGUGCACCAACCUUUGUACAUUUGAGUUAAGCACUUACGCCAUAGUUCUUCGGACCUCAUUUUCUUCCUUUCUAUCCCGGUUAGAUUUAGCUUUACUUCUUUUUUCCUUUAUCAAUUCAGCCAAAGGUCUGCGUGACCCAUAAAGAAAGGAAACAACGUGAACAUAAUUAUGUAGUAUUCAACGGUUUACUAUCUAAUUCUCUAAUUCAAAACUGAUGCCUUAUAAUAGAUGACGUAUUAAAUACAUACCUUUCAUCCUCUUUAUCUUCGUCUUUUUUCCUAUCUUCCCUUGGCUUUGCCACCCUUCGUGUUGGAUAUAAAAACUAGUUAACCAAAAGAUAUUCACAUAUGUAUUGUAAAAUAAUAUUAGAAACUCACUGUGUAUCAAUUGCACCCUCAAGGACGCAUUCCCAAACUAUGUUUUCUUCCCUUGUGAUAGCCUUGGAGAUAUUGACUGCUCUCUCCAGCCAAGGCGAUCUCCCGAAUGCAGCUAUUUUAGGUAUUCUCUUUCGUUUCCCUUUGUUGACUUCAUUUGUUUGUGGUCGAGUUUUCUUUAUAUCCCGCACUUCUGGGGACGGGAAAUCUUGUGCAGUCCCGCGGCUCGAUGAAGGUCUUUUGUUAUCAGUCCGGAUAUCAUUCACCGGCACGCCUUCAUCAUCUAGCUUUCCAGUUGCAAUAUAUUCAAUAAUGUCGGCUAGCUGAACCGCAGUUUGGGUCCACGCUGAUACAACAUGCGGGGUUGAGAAGAUGCCUGAGUCGUCAUCUCCAGGUGUGUUGCACUCUUGGUUUCUUUUUAGGCUUACACCUACAAACAUACAUUUAAAAAAACAGUGAUGUCUACACAACAUUAACCCCAAACAAUUAUACGUAAUCAGUCAGUGUUAUUGGAUUAUGACAUUACACAAUUCAUACCUGUAUCGUUAUUUCCCUUUUGGUUGGUACAAACAGCAGAUUUCUCCACAGUUGAUUUGGCCUCCGCAUCAAAACUCUUGUUGAAUAAUGCUUUGUAUCGUUCCGCAGCUUCUAAAACCUCCAUAGUAUCCGGAUAACAGCGUGCAAACUUUGAUAUUGCUCGGUCUAACUUGCCUUUCACAGCUUCUGCUUCAUCACACAUUGCAUUGAUACUAGAUAUGUAUGCCUGACAUUCGAAAGAAUCAAUGACAUAUACUAAUUAAUCAGGACCAUUCUAUGUUGAUGGGAAAACAACAUAGAAUCACCAAUAUGUAACACUUACCUUCAUCUCAUAUCUAACAUCAUUCUCAGUUGUCAUCCCUUCAUCAUUACGCGUUAUAUCCACUACCUCUUCCUCACUUUCCGUAUCAUAUUCAUUAUCAUCGUCAAACAGCUCCUUCACAGAAACAGUCCCUAAUCCUCCAUUCUUUAUCUCCAUUUGUUGUCUCUGACUUAUCCUUUCAGUGUUCCAGUAAGAUAUUGGUGGCUCCGUUAUUUCAUCAUCAAAACCAACGGACCUGGUUCGGACCAGGUAUAGCAACUACAAAAACAACAACAAAGUAGUUCAUCUUAGCUAUGCUAGUAACUAGUGGGUUCGCAAUAACAAUAAAGAAGAAAGUAUGUACAAUGAUAAUAACUGUUGCUCGGGACACGUAUAUGGGUAUACUGUAUACACAUAUGUAUUACUGAAAAAAUACACAUGUGUAUUGUCGAAGCGCAUGCCUUGUUUGCAUUGCACCUUCACCCUUAAGCAUCGUUAUUGAUUAAAUGUCCUCUUUACAUCAAAUUCAGAAACAAAAGGUCUUAGUAACACAUACCACUAAAAAUGUAAGGGGUCCUCGGAACCAUGAGUUUUAUCACACCUCCUCCAAUGGUUUUUACACACUUUCACUGCGUCGAUUAUAAACUGGCACCAAUCAUGCUCUUUAAAGCUAUGAUCCAUGUCAAACAUGUACAACAAUGUGUACAUUGCUAUGCCAUUCAUCGUGCAGCCCACCAUCGUUGAUAUGAACAAUAUCACAAAAUCCAUCUGGAACAUCUCUUCGUCCUCAUCUUCGUACUCCGAAAUUUUGCCUACCAGGUCUGUGCAGCUAAUGAUACUCCUGCUAAACCUUCCUCUCCACCGGGAUAUCAACGGAUGCUUAGAAGCUUCCUUGUUGUCAACGUUUACCCUAAUUCCCCCACAUGGUAACCCCAACAGUUUCUGUACCGAAUCCUUGUCAACCUUGAUUGUUUGUUCGCCUAACCUGAUAACCAUGUUUUUGGUAUCUAGACGAUCGACUACAAAAUGCCCUAAAGCAGAUUUAAUUACAACCACCUUCAGCUUCAGAAUCUUACCAAACCCCAUCCGUCAAACAAUAUUCCGUUGCGUCGUUGUCAUCUUCUUAAUAGCUUCGCACAACUUCUUUGGUGACGUUCGCGUCCUAAUCCCGGGCAGCUGAUGAUUUUUUUUCCCUCUUCGAUGCUUUACAGAUUUCAAUUUUUUGCGCUUAUCUUCUUUCUUGGAAUGCCGGGUUUUAUACUUAAACAAAUCAUCCAACACCCGGUCUCUUUUAUCUCCCUUGUCAUCUGUUCAAUAUUCAUGAACCAAAUUUUAGGUUAACAGAUUACACAAAAUAACAGAUUAUUAAAAGUAACUUUUUUUCCAACACUGAAUUACCUCCUUUUCUGUCAUCCUUGUUACUCCUCUUUGGUUUUCCUAACCGACCAGAUUUUUUGUGCAGGGUUGAACGCGAUUCAGCUUCCCCUGUUAUUAAAAAAAUAACAAAACGUAAGGGUUUGCUAAACUAGUACACAUACCUUACAUAUUCAAUUUUCUCAACGAAAACGUGUACAUACCUUUCAUUUCCCCUGCAUCAGAAGCUACUGUCCUUUUAUUCGUUGUAUCACCCUCACCAGCACAUUUCCCUAAGAUAAACCAAAAAAUACCCAACGGAUUCAAACUACAGAUUAUAUUAUACCGUUCCUUUUCUGAUAGUCACAACUAAAAACUUAAAACUCAUUAUACACAUGUGUUUUUACCUUUGUUUUCAGUCUCUUCAUUAUUGUCACCUAAGUAAAAAUUCAUGAAAUUAAAAUCAAUUUGUAGUUUACUAAUCAAUUAUCUUUGAAUGCUAACCUUCUGAUUUCUCCAUGAACGGUACCCGAAUUGCCUUAACCUUAUUUUUUUCACUCUUUUUGCUCGACUUCCUGUCCGUAUCAAUGGUUGAUUGUCCUCUUCAUUUGGUAACUUCGUGUUCUGUACAGGUCUAUCUUCCGGUUGUUCUCUAGGCUUACCAACUGUUCAUGUAAUUCACCAAACAUUGUAAGUACACAUUCCAAACCGCAGGUUUUAAAAACCGUAGCUAUCUAAAACAUGUAUCAUUUUUACACAACCCUCUUCUAACAGAGUUACCUUCGUUGCUCAUCUCACAUUUCUGAUUCUUUGUUGUUGAAUUACCAUCGUCAUAACUCUUGUUGAACUCUACAUCAACUGAUGUGUUGGCACGUUCCCACUCUUUAUUCUUAUGGCCUGCUACAUGUUACCAAAAAAACAUAAUUAAGUGUAACUCUUACAUCUUACACAAUCAAAGCAUGUUAACUACUCUUACACUCUUCUUUACGCCAUUUUUCUUUUAGUCGCCGAAAGUACUCAGCUCUCUCUAAUAUAAACUGCUUUUUUUCUUCUAUCCUCUCCGCUGUCAAACAAAAAUAACAGUUAUACAACAAUAUAUAUCAGUAAACCAGAAAAUAAAAACCAAAACAACUUUUAGUGUGGUGUCUCUUUUUACUACUUGUUUCAAAAGGAUCAUCAGACAACGCAUGUGUUGCCUUUUCGUGGUCAAUCUUCUUUCUUCAUCUUGUCAGCUAAUCAAAACAAAAGCCAGUUAGUUGCUGAAGAUUGUGUCGUACAAACGUUCACCUUUUUACUACUAGCUAACCCAACAAAUAACAUAUUAAAAGUACAAUAACUUUACUUUCUUCAUCAUCAGAACAUAUUAUUGGGUCUUCUGCUUUGUUUACAAAUCUUGAUUUCCAUUUACCAGCUAUACGUUGGAUUUUCCGCCCUAUAUGUUUAUAUCAACAUCUUUUAAAGCAAGACUUUCUCGUUUAAAUAUUUUUAGUUCAUUGGUAACUGAUAUAUGCACUUACUAGUCCUCCUAUUGAUCUUUUUAAAUCACCUAAAAGAAACCAUGGAAAACAAUCAAAUGACAAAGUAUUAGAACCAAAGACGAUUAAACAGAAACUAUUAUCAGAAUAAGUAUUUAAUUCUAUGAUAAGGGAAAAAAACAUGUUUCAAAUUCUAUCCCAUUACCUACGUAUAUGUAUCUAUCAGACAUGUUAAUAUUAAAACACAUGGGUAUUUCCACCCCUUACACAUGUGUAUUGGUAUAUCUGAUUCAGUAUCCAAUCCCAACCACAUAUCCUAUGUAAUCCUUGAGUUGCAACAACUUGUAUACACAUGUGUUUUUUCCACCCCUUACACAUGUGUAUUGGUAUAUCAGAUUCAGUAUCCAAUCCCAGCCACAUAUCCUAUGUAAUCCUUGAGUUUCAACAACUUGUAUACACAUGUGUACUACUAUCCCAUACACAUGUGUAUAACUAGAAUAGAUAAGCAGACAGUUAACACCAAUUAAAACCAACCUCGUUUCAAUUGAUUUUUUCACAAAACUAUGAAACAGAAGUAGAAGACUCUACUAUUCUGACCCAAAUACAUACCAAUUACUACUGUAUACUAUGUAAAGUGACAAAAUACACAAAUACUUCUUUGUGAAAAAGAUAACAAACCAUCCCAAUGUUGUAAAAACUAAACAGAUUUCGUAAUCCCCAAUUAGCAAGAAGAACAAUAACGUAUAUACACUUGCUAUUCAACAUAUCUAGAUGGUAUAGGCUAAAGUUUUAAUACCUACACACCUAAUCGGUUACAUUUUCUCACCAAUCUAAGCAAACUAAGCCCUAGCUUAUAGAUUAAAGGUAUUUCGGAUCACUAGGGAGGAUAACUCAUAAUCACUCGACACAAAUAUGUAAUCGGCUUAAACAUAUAAACAAAUAACACCUGUACAUUACAAAAUCACUAGAGAAACAGUUCGAGCCGACUGAUUACGCAGAUCAAACUGAACCCUAGGUUUUGAGUUGUGAAGAUUAGUGUGUAUAAAGACGGAACAUUCAAAAUCUUUGAACGAUUACUACAAUAUGUAAUUAUACCUUGCUUUGAUGAUGCUUCUUGAGUUUUCCUCAGUUGCAGAAAUCGCCAAUAAAGGAGAGAGGUUGAAGACGGUUGUUCUUUGUUUGAUGAAAGAGGUUAUGAGUUGAAAGGUGGUUUUGAUAGGUUGAAGCUAUACACAAUCUAUAACUGUGUAGCCUAUUAUUACGUGAUUCAAAUUUCUACAUUUAAUCAUUACAAAGU